GGAUGUGAGGGUGAUCUGGCUGCGACAUCUGUCACCAUUGAUCGCCAGGGUUGAUUUGGCUGAUCUGGCUGGCUAGGCGGGUGUCCCCUUCCUCCCUCACCGCUCCAUGUGCGUCCCUCCCGAAGCUGCGCGCUCGGUCGAAGAGGACGACCUUCCCCGAUAGAGACGUACCGUUCAUCGGUCAAGGGUAUACGGUAGCUGCGCUCCCCUGCUAGAACCUCCAAAAGAACUUCAAGCAAGAACUUCUUUUAUCUGCAUGUUUUGUUUCAGUCAGCUACAUUUGCAUGUCAUCAGCCAGGAUUUUGAUUCUCCGGC
rnacentral:snRNA from 1 species